ACGAACGCUGGCGGCGUGCUUCACACAUGCCAGUCGCACGGAAAGGCCCUGCUUUUGUGGGGUGCUCGAGUGGCGAACGGGUGAGUAACACGUGAGUAACCUGCCCUUGACUUUGGGAUAACUUCAGGAAACUGGGGCUAAUACCGGAUAGGAGCUCCUGCUGCAUGGUGGGGGUUGGAAAGUUUCGGCGGUUGGGGUUGGACUCGCGGCUUAUCAGCUUGUUGGUGGGGUAGUGGCUUACCAAGGCUUUGACGGGUAGCCGGCCUGAGAGGGUGACCGGCCACAUUGGGACUGAGAUACGGCCCAGACUCCUACGGGAGGCAGCAGUGGGGAAUAUUGCACAAUGGGCGGAAGCCUGAUGCAGCAACGCCGCGUGCGGGAUGACGGCCUUCGGGUUGUAAACCGCUUUCGCCUGUGACGAAGCGUGAGUGACGGUAAUGGGUAAAGAAGCACCGGCUAACUACGUG
rnacentral:rRNA from 1 species